GGGGAUCUGUGUUGCAUUUGGGGUAGUCUUCUUUUAUUUUGGUUCCGUAGUCGGACCUUGAGUGUAAUCUGGAUGAUGGAUGUUUAUUUAUGUAUUGUGUGAAGUGGCGACUGUAAGCCAACUAUGUAUCCUUUCCCUUAUGUAUUACAUGGAUUGUGCGAAGAUUACCUCACUUGCGACAUUGCUUUCAAUGCGGUUAUGCCUCUAAGUCGUGCUUCGACACGUGGGAGAUAUAGCCGCAUCGAGGGCGUUACAAGUUGGUAAUCAGAGCCAGCCCCGACCUUAGGAGCCCCACUGCUUGAUCGUUUUUAGCGGCCGAGUUGUGUCUAGAAAAAAUGUUUUGAGUCAUUUAGGAUUAUAUAUAUCGGAGAGUUAGGAAUUCUUUUACUCCCCAGUCUCUUCAUCGCUCUGGUAAGGCAUUCUGACGUAUAGUUUUGACUCUUCUCUUCUCAAAUUUCACUAAAUUUUUUUUUAGGAUCACGCGGGUAUCUUGGAAUCGUUCCGAUGGUUUUAUGAUGAGAACAUUGUCUUGGUGCCUCCUGUCAGGGGUUUAGUGGAAGUGUCCCGGGGAGUUGAGCUCUGAGGUGUUGUCGCCAUAAUUUUAUCGUUGCAGUUCUGGAAUACCUGAGUUUAGUACGCCGACAUCGAAAAUCUCUUUUAUGCAGUUGUUGGUGAGAUAACCCCGAUAACCCAGUACUGAGGUGAGUACGGGAGUAUUUCCAUGACUCGUAUAACGGAUGCUUUUUGAAGGUUGAGGUACACGAUUUCUGAAGGUUUCUUGGUUAUGUGUUGAAGGAUGGAUACAGCUGGAUGUAGGGAUUGUUAGUUUGGGUGAGAUAUAUUGCUUCCCCUGUAUCCCCAACACCAGAUUGCAUAACCAGAAAGUUUCAGGAGUUUUAUAGGUGGGAAUUCAAGUAGCUCCUAGAAUAUCUUUCCGACAGAUGCAUGAUAUGGGAUUGGGUAAAUCUCUAUCAUAUGUAUUUGUUCCGGCUUAUUCUGCAAGCCAAAUCCUUUGUUUCUUUUCAUUUUUGGUAUUCGAGUUGCUUUGAAGUCAAAUGUUGAAUCCAUACCUUCCCUAAACGUUGUUCUCUUAUGGCUAUGUGAAUACUAAUCCUUCUUGAUCAUCGAGAUUGUCAUGUUAAUUCUUUUCCUACCGGUGUGCUUCUCUUCAAGUGGAUCCGAUCAUCUCAACGUCCGCAAGAUCAAUUCUAAGUUUUCUCAAUGGUGUUUAUUUCAUCUGUCCCAAGUUGCCUUUGUUUUUCCCGCCCUCCCACCCUUUUUCUUCAAGGACUCAGAUAUCUUAAUCAAGUAUCCAUCUUAUGGACGUGAAGUCUCUUCAUUCUUUUCUUUCAAUGUUCUUAUCCGGUGAUUUUCCAUGAAGAUGCUCAACAGUUUCAAGUUCAUCAUCCUUCAUUGUUGUUUCUUCUCCGGUGGAUCCAAUUCAAGCUUUCAGUAUUGAUCAUAUUCCUUUCCUCGUGUCAAAUGCUUUCUCAUGUCGAUGCCCCUCUCAAUCACUAACCUCUUGCUAUUCAUUUGUUCCAGAGUGUUGAAGAUAUCUCAGAAGAUUUGUAUUUCCAUUCUUAAUCUGUUCAAGCUAUUUGGAGGUUGUUACCUCAUUCAAGCCAUUUAAUUCAACCGACGCAAUCUCUCUUUUAAAUUGUUCAACGGUGUUUUCUUUUGAGUGGGCCCUAACCCACAGGUCUUUUCCCAGGAUCUUACCUGACUCGUCUAAUUAUCAGGAGCGAUUCUCAAAUUCAUUUCCAAGUUUGACGUAAGAAUGAAUUAUCAUCAGUCAAAUGUCUUUCUCCAAGAUCUUUCAAAUUCUGUCAUUGUUGGUUCAACCUUUCAAAUUUUCAUUCCAGAGUGCCUCAACAAUUCAUGGUGGUUCUCAUCAUCAUUCUCAGCAUGUGAAGACCGAAGAAGGAUUUCUCUUAAAUCUUGCUCCAUUCUCUUCAAGAUUCAUGGUUCUAGCUUGAUGCCAUCCUUUCAUAAUUGUUUUGAUUGGGAAAAUUCUUUUCACCCAUUCGGAGCAUUUCAUGAGUUGUUUCCAUUUCUUUCCUCCGAAGGCCAUCGUGUCAUAAUUCUUCAUUCUCAGCCUGUAGCUAUCAUUCUCCAAAUCUUACCGGUGCAUCGUUCAAAUAUCCUCUAAUCAGUUCAUAGCCUCUUCGUUCUCAUGUAUCCAAAUCCCCUCAAGUAUCUUCGUUCAUUUUCCAAUUCUUUCCGGUGAUUUGUGCCUUUGCUACUUUCAUUUUCAAUUCUAACGGUGGUUCGUUCAAGAUUUCACUUCCUUUGUUAUCAUAUAAAAACAUUCGUUGUUUCCAAAUUCCAACGGUGGUUCCAUCAAUACCUUCUCAAGUUUACGCUAUGUCUCUCUUAAUCCUUUCUACGAGAAUAAGUAGUAUGCCAAAUCCAUUGCUUGUCAUCAAUUUAAUUUGAUGAAGGAUAAGCAUACAAUAAAUCUUAUUCUUAUUUCCUCGAGGUGAUUCAAUUCUUUUCUUCCGGAGAUUGUUCAUGAUGAGAUAAUUCUCGGUUCUAGUGUUUCAUCUUUUCUUUUCCGGAGUUCCAAGUUUUCUGCAUUAUCUCGCCGCGAAGCGCCAUCUAAAUCAUCACAAGGCUUCACCUUGUGUUUUCAACUUCUCUUUCUUUCUAUCAUCCUUUUGUUUACCGGAGUUCUUCAUGGAGGCUCAACAUGGUGGUUCAUCAAGGAUUCUUUUCAUUCUUCAAUUGUUCUAUUUUCUACCGCAGUGCUCUCAAUUGUGUUCAACUCCAUUGUGUUCUUUCUAUCAACUUUUCAACCUUUCAAGGUUCUUUGGUUUCACUCUUUUGUCGAAGAAGCAACUUAGUUCUACCUCUUCUCUUCCUCUUCCGUUUCUCUCCGGUGCCAUCCUAGAUCUCGGGACGAGAUCCUCUUGUAGUGGUGGAGUGUUAUAAUGCCCCGAGACCAGAGCUCCAGAAGACUUCCAGCUAUUCCGAGUUUCGCCGUCUGUUUCAUUUGUGCUUGCUCUUUUAUUUUUUGCUUUGCAUCAUGUCAUCAUGCCAUCAUGUCAUUUAAUUUUUAAAACUCUUCUAAAUAAAUUUCAUAGAUCUUUUGAUCUAUUUAAAUCAAGGGAAAUUCACAUGGUGAUUUCUCUUUAUAACAUAUCCUCCCAAUAUUAGGGAGCUAUAUAAAAUAUUUCUUUAAUUUGGAAAUCACCAUAACACACUUGCAAAAUAUCCCAUGCCGUUGUUAUCUCAAUUCUUGGUCUCCAACCUUGCCCAUAAUUUCUUUCAUCAUUUUCCGGAGCUCCACCAAAAAUCCGAACAUUUUUGGACACUGCGGAAUCCUAGUCCUAGUUCAAACCCAUUUGAAUUAAAUUCAAAUGAGUUUGAAUUUAAAUCUUUCAAUCAUGCCUCUUUCUAUUUUCUUGGAACGAGCAUAUUUUUGCGAGUCCCGGAAAAUAAUCCCCAUGCGCAAAUCUUCCCCCUAACCUCUCUUUCUUUUCUUUCUUUUCUCUGUUCUGUUUUUUAUUCAUUAGAGAGAGGGAGAAGAAGCCCUGCAAACCAGGCCGGGCCGGCCUGCUUCCUCGCAGCCCACCUCUCCAGCCGCAGCCAGCCGCAGCCCACUAUCUAAGAAGGCCCAGCCGCGCCUAACCCUAGCCCGAUCCCACACAUCUCUCUUCCUCCCCUCGCUCCCUCUGAGCGCCGCCACGCGCAGCCCUCGAUCCCCUCGCGCCCUCGCCCCGUCCCUACACCGCAUCGACAGGGAGAGCCCAGCGCUCUCUCCCCUCGUUCUCACGCAGCGCCCAGCCCCUUCACCCGAUCCCCAUCUCCCUCUCGUCUCCCACCACGCAGCCCUCGACCUCCCCUCCUCUCGAGCACGCAUCUCAUGGCGCCCCCAUCAAUCGCGCCGGCCUCUCCUUCCCUGCGCCACACCAGGACCUCCACAACGCCGCCGCCUCAAGCUCCAAUCCGGCGGCCCCGCCGCCUCUGCGCGCGAGCGCCGCGCGCCCAACCUCCUCCCUCGCGCGGCUCCUUCCCUGCCUCCACCGCGAGCCCACCAUGGCACCCGCAACCGUCGUCCUCCACACUGAGCAGGAGUUGCGCCGCCUCGAGUCCUGGUCCAGACAGCCACCGGAGUCCCGCAGGUCCGCGCCGUCGCCUCCUCCGCAUCGAGCUAGGGAGUGGCGCUCCUCCUCCCGGCCUCCUCGCGCCCAUCCACCCCUGCUGGCGUUGCUCAACUCCGGCGCCCCUGCCUCACUUCUCCCUCCUCGUGCCAGGGAGAGGAGCUCCCUCUUCCUCGCCGUCCUUCGACUCGUCGUCGCUCCGGCGCCCGUUCGCAGACGCCCGGAGUCCAUCUUUGGUUGCACACCAAGUCGGCCAUGCCUUGCUGCCUCCUAUACACUGUUGGUCAACAGUUGAUGCACGCCAAGUUCUUCGACUACAGCCGAUGCCCCGAGGACACCGAGUACGACUACACACGGAGAUGCGUCAAGUUCCACUACCGUCGACAUGAACAUCUACGAAAACGUGUACAACUACCGUCGCCACGUGAACAACGACUUCCACUACGCCGUUUACGACUACUUCCCUUGACGAUCAUCGCGAGAACGACUACUUCCCUCUACGAAACGCGAACUGUCCCGUAUGAACGCUUCGAAGGUAUAACCCGAGACGACCGCGAUGAGAUGCCCUUGCAUGUAUGAGAUGUACGAUAUGUUUGCAUCGUGCCCAUUUGUUUCGUGCGCGUUCCUUCCUCUUUUGCCAUGCCACUAUCCCGUGGGAACCCGGUAGUCGGGAGCACCCCACCAUCCUUGCAUGACACGCAUCCGCACACUUCUCUCUUGCAUCGGUAUCUCAAAUCGAGUUACCGGAACCGAUAUGUUGCCGUGGCACCAUUUUCGGUUAUGUUGCCGUGGCACCAUUUUCGUUAUCGUUGCCGUGGCACCCCUUUCGUUCCACCACGGUGACAAAUGCUUCAUAACAUGCUCAUGUCAACAUUUUCAUAAAAUUGCAUAAACUUGUAUAUGUCAUCCGCAUCAUGAUAACAACAUUUAAAUGUUUAAAAUGGUGUUUGCAUUAAAUUGCUAAAUGCCAUGUGGGGAUUUACCGGAAUUGUUGUUUGUUGAUCCGGCCUCACUUAAACUUGCCUAAAUAGUUCGUUUAUUUAUGCUUCACCUCUUGCCAUGCUUAACAACAUUUAAUAUUGUUUAGUAGCAUAAACGAGAGUGAACUAAAUACUUGCAUGUGGUGUUUCGUUAAUAUGCAACUCGUUGCAUAUUGAGCUCCACUUAACUUGUAGUGUUGUUUGUGCAUAUUGCCAUGCCAUGCCUCAUUAAACCGGACAUGCAUCAUACUUGUUUGUGCAUCAUGCCAUGUUUAGGCUUGUGUGUUUACCGCGUUGUUUGCUUCUUUCCGGUUUGCUUCUCUCGUUAGCUUCGGUUUCGUUCCGGAGUUGUGAGGAUUCGUUCGACUACGUCCGUUUGUCUUCUUCAUGGACUCGUUCUUCUUCUUUGCGGGAUUUCAGGCAAGAUGAUCAUACCUUCGAAAUCAUUACUAUCUUUGCUUGCUAGUAUUCGCUCUAUCGCUAUGUUAGCCCUACCUGCCUUUGUUUACCAUGCCUACCUAUUGCCAUGUUAAACCUCUAACCAUCCUGUCCUAGCAAACCCUUUGUCUGGCUAUGUCACCGCUUUUGCUUAGCCCCUCUUAUAGCAUUGUUAGCUGCAGGUGAAGAUGAAGGUUGUUCCAGGUCGGAACGUGGUUAUUUUGGGAUAUCACAAUAUCUCCUGUUUAUAUUAAUGCACCUUAUAUACUUGGUAAAGGGUGGAAGGCUCGGCCUUAUGCCUGGUGACUUGUUCCACUCUUGCCGCCUUAGUUCCGUUUACCGGUGUUAUGUUCCUUGAUUUUGCGUUCCUUACAUGGUUGGGUGAUUUAUGGAACCCCCUUAACAGUUCGCUUUGAAUAAAACUCCUCCAGCAUGGCCCAACUUUGGUUUUACCAUUUGCCACCUAAGCCCUUUCCCUUGGGUUUUCGCGAGCCCAAGGGUCAUCUUUAUUACCCCCCCGGGCCAGUGCUCCUCUGAGUGUUGGUCCAAACUAGAGCACCGUGCGGGACCAUUCCUUGGCAACUUGGAUUACGUCGGUACCUGUACGCUUCGCUUAUCCGGUGUGCCCUGAGAACGAGAUAUGUGCAGCUCCUAUCGGGAUUUGUCGGCACAGUCGGGUGGUCUUGCUGGCCUUGUUUUACCAUUGUCGAAAUGUUUUGCGAACCGGGAUUCUGAGACUGAUCGGGUCUUCCCGGGAGAAGGUCUAUUCCUUCGUUGACCGUGAGAGCUUGUGAUGGGCUAAGUUGGGACACCCCUGCAGGGUAUAUAAUCUUUCGAAAGCCGUGCCCGCGGUUAUGAGGCAGAUGGGAAUUUGUUAAUGUCCGGUUGUAGAUAACUUGACACUUGACUUCAUUAAAAUGCAUCAACUGUGUGUGUAGCCGUGAUGGUCUCUUCUCGCCGGAGUCCGGGAAGUGAACACGGUUUGAGUUAUGCUUGACGUAAGUAGUUUCAGGAUCACUUCUUGAUCGUUUCUAGCUUCUCGAUCGAUGUGCUGCUUCUCUUCUCGCUCUCACUUGCGUAUGUUAGCCACCAUAUACGCUUAGUGCUUGCCGCAGCUCCACCAUAUUACCCCUUUCCUACCUAUGAGCUUAAAUAGUCUUGAUCUCGCGGGUGUGAGAUUGCUGAGUCCCCGUGGCUCACAGAUUCUACCAAAACAGAUGCAGGUGCCGAGGAUACUGGCGCAGAUGGUGCAACCGAGCUCAAGUGGGAAUUUGAUGAGGCCCUUGGUUGUUACUAUGUAUCGUUUCCAGAUGAUCAGUAGAGGUGCCCAGUCGGGUCGAUCGGGGAUCUGUGUUGCAUUUGGGGUAGUCUUCUUUUAUUUUGGUUCCGUAGUCGGACCUUGAGUGUAAUCUGGAUGAUGGAUGUUUAUUUAUGUAUUGUGUGAAGUGGCGACUGUAAGCCAACUAUGUAUCCUUUCCCUUAUGUAUUACAUGGAUUGUGCGAAGAUUACCUCACUUGCGACAUUGCUUUCAAUGCGGUUAUGCCUCUAAGUCGUGCUUCGACACGUGGGAGAUAUAGCCGCAUCGAGGGCGUUACAAU
rnacentral:lncRNA from 1 species